rnacentral:rRNA from 1 species
CUGCCCAGUGACUCUGUUCAACGGCCGCGGUAUCCUAACCGUGCGAAGGUAGCGUAAUCACUUGUUCUUUAAAUGUGGACUAGUAUGAAUGGCAUCACGAAGGUUAUACUGUCUCCUUUUUCUAAUCAGUGAAACUAAUCUCCCCGUGAAGAAGCGAGGAUAAAACUAUAAGACGAGAAGACCCUAUGGAGCUUUAAACAUUUAUAACACUUGCUAAAUAAAAUACAAAUUUCAGAAUUAUUUACUCUUUAAGCAACUUGUCUAUAAGUUUUUGGUUGGGGUGACCGCGGAGCAUAAUACAACCUCCAUGUUGAAAGAUCUAUUUCUAAGCUAAGAGCUACACCUCUAAGCAUCAACAUAUUGACAUCCAUUGACCCAAUAUAUUUGAACAACGAACCAAGUUACCCUAGGGAUAACAGCGCAAUCCACUUCAAGAGCUCCUAUCGACAAGUGGGUUUACGACCUCGAUGUUGGAUCAGGGUUUCCCAGUGGUGCAGCCGCUACUAAAGGUUCGUUUGUUCAACGAUUAAAACCCUACG